GCUGAUAUAGUGUAGUCCGGCCAAUCAUUUCGGCCUUUCACGCCGAGGACUGGGGUUCGAAUCCCCAUAUCAGCA
rnacentral:tRNA from 1 species